rnacentral:lncRNA from 1 species
UUUCUUACUCAUCUCUCUCCAUUUUUUGUUGAUUCUUCGAACUUCUUCUCUCUCCAUGAAUCAACCUUCUUGGAUGGCACAAGCCAAAAUCUCCAAAGGUUUCAAAUUGCUUCUCCAUAUGUUAUUUUAUGAUUUAAUUUAAUCACAUGUUUAAUUUUUUGUCUAUGUUUGCAAAUUAGGUUUUCUUCUCCAUCGAAUCCUCCAACCUGUUUCAAGAUCCAUCCCGCAGGUAAUUUCAGUUUGGUUCUUUAGAGAUCCAAAAUAUUUUCACUUUCUUGCUUUUAUCCACCUGUCUGUAUGAAAUCAACUGUAAUAAUCUAUUUGCUCUUUGCAGGCCAAAAGAUUUGUAGACUAUUUGGCUACUUUGGUCCUCUAAAUGAAGUUUUCAUGCUUGUGAUUAUUAUAUUAGGUAAGCUUAUUUACUAUCUUAAAACACAACUUAUAUAUAGCUUCUAUGUGUUGUUUUAAUUUAAAGUUUUAAUUUUCCAGUUUGAUGUGUUACAUGUGAAGUUGUAUAGUGUUAUAUAGAAAUUGAUUGAUAUUUCUAAUUUCAA